UACGUAGGUGGCAAGCGUUGUCCGGAUUUACUGGGCGUAAAGGGCGUGCAGGCGGUCUGUUAAGUGCAGGGUGAAAGCUCCCGGCUCAACUGGGAGAGGUCCUUGCAUACUGGCGGACUUGAGGAGGGUAGAGGAGAGUGGAAUUCCCGGUGUAGUGGUGAAAUGCGUAGAUAUCGGGAGGAACACCAGUGGCGAAGGCGACUACCUGGCCUGUUCUUGACGCUGAGGCGCGAAAGCUAGGGUAGCAAACGGG
rnacentral:rRNA from 1 species